GACCGCGUAGCUCAGUUGGAAGAGCAUUGGGCUAGUAUUCCAACGGUCGUAGGUUCGAACCCCACCGUGGCCG
rnacentral:tRNA from 1 species